rnacentral:tRNA from 1 species
GCUCCUGUCGUCUAGUCCGGUCAAGGACGCUAGCCUCUCACGCUAGCGACCCGGGUUCAAAUCCCGGCGGGAGCA